CAAUAAUCAGAGGGGCUGGAGGCUGCAAUCCCGGAGCACAGCCUCCCUUCUCAUCAACAGUCAUGAGAUUAACUGUCAUGUGCUCUCCACUAGGUGAUGAGUCACUUGCGCAGCCCAAUUCUGUUGGCUGACCCUCUAUGUCAGACCCACCAUCAGCGAUAUUUAAUAUGGUAAGCAUAGUCUUUAGCCUUUUCUUCUAUGGGAAAAUACUUAGUGCCACUAAAGAAGGAUCUGUGUACCAGAGGCUCACGAUCAGUAGUGCUUUGAGGAAAUAUGAUCUGGAAGAUUAAUCAAAAUUCUGCAACAUGGCUGAUAUUUACAAAGUGACUUUAGAGACAUUCAAGAGCAAUGGGGAUAGCUUUAGCAGCAGAGAAAAGGGAUCAAAGAAUCAUAAUAUCAAGAAACUUAACCCCUUGGCUUCAAAAGAUUCCUUGGUGCAAAAUGGUUUGUUUUUUUGCCCUCUCCGAAAGGUAACAGAAGUAAGCAAUAGUAAUAAUAUACAUACUGAUCUGUAGAAGAAUUCCAAAAUACAGAAUUAUUCUGAAAUCUUUAUUUUUUUCAAUUAUAUAUAUAUCUAUGUUAAAUAUUAUCAUUAAAAAUUAAAACUUUUCCCUGCCAGUA